rnacentral:rRNA from 1 species
AGACCAAAGCAGACACAGGGAUUGCCUUAGUAACGGCGAGUGAAGCGGCAACAGCUCAAAUUUGAAAUCUGGCCCUUGGGUCCGAAUUGUAAUUUGUAGAGGAUGAUUUUGGUGCGGUAUCUUCCGAGUUCCUUGGAACAGGACGCCUUAGAGGGUGAGAGCCCCGUACGGUUGAAUGCCUAGCCUCUGUAAAUCUCCUUCGACGAGUCGAGUAGUUUGGGAAUGCUGCUCUAAAUGGGAGGUAAAUUUCUUCUAAAGCUAAAUAUUGGCCAGAGACCGAUAGCGCACAAGUAGAGUGAUCGAAAGAUGAAAAGCACUUUGAAAAGAGGGUUAAAUAGCACGUGAAAUUGUUGAAAGGGAAGGAUUUGUGACCAGACUUUUUCUGGGCGGAUCAUCCGGGGUUCUCUCCGGUGCACUUCGCCCAGUAAAGGCCAGCAUCGGUUUUCGGCGUGGGAUAAAAGCAGUAGGAAUGUGGCUCUCUACGGGGAGUGUUAUAGCCUAUUGUAUAAUACCGCGCUGGGGACCGAGGUUCGCGCUUCUGCAAGGAUGCUGGCGUAAUGGUUAUCAAUCACCCGUCUUGAAACACGGACCAAGGAGUCGAACAUUUGUGCGAGUGUUUGGGUGUUAAACCCUCACGCGUAAUGAAAGUGAACGGAGGUGAGAGCCCUUACGGGUGCAUCAUCGACCGAUCCUGAAGUUUUCGGAUGGAUUUGAGUAAGAGCAUAACUGUUCGGACCCGAAAGAUGGUGAACUAUGCGUGGAUAGGGUGAAGCCAGAGGAAACUCUGGUGGAGGCUCGCAGCGGUUCUGACGUGCAAAUCGAUCGUCAAAUCUGCGCAUGGGGGCGAAAGACUAAUCGAACCAUCUAGUAGCUGGUUACCGCCGAAGUUUCCCUCAGGAUAGCAGUGUUGUCUUCAGUUUUAUGAGGUAAAGCGAAUGAUUAGGGACUCGGGGGCGCUUUUUAGCCUUCAUCCAUUCUCAAACUUUAAAUAUGUAAGAAGCCCUUGUUACUUAAUUGAACGUGGGCAUUCGAAUGUACCAACACUAGUGGGCCAUUUUUGGUAAGCAGAACUGGCGAUGCGGGAUGAACCGAACGCGGGGUUAAGGUGCCGGAGUGGACGCUCAUCAGACACCACAAAAGGUGUUAGUACAUCUUGACAGCAGGACGGUGGCCAUGGAAGUCGGAAUCCGCUAAGGACUGUGUAACAACUCACCUGCCGAAUGUACUAGCCCUGAAAAUGGAUGGCGCUCAAGCGUCCCACCCAUACCCCGCCCUCAGGGUAGAAAUGAUGCCCUGAGGAGUAGGCGGCCGUGGAGGUCAGUGACGAAGCGUAGGCGGAGCCUGCUCUGCCAU